GCUGGAGCGGGGAGGCCAUGAGACAGCAGAGCGCUGGUAAACACCAUGCAGAAAAGCCGUAUUGUGGGGUUACAAAGUCUGGGCUGUUUAAGGAGCUCUGUCAUUCCUUUUAAUGGAGCUCACUGACGCAGAUCUGGGUUCUGCCAGCCGAGGAAAUAUUGCUGCUGAGAAAAGGGUUAUUGAAACCCACAAACUAAAUAUUAUGAACAAGAAUCAAAUGGCAGGACAUUCUGGAGUGUAAUCCCUCCUGAUUUCAGGAGAAGGGAAACGUAUUGGCACGGAAUGAAGCUCCCUCCAGUCACCUGCUGCAAGACACAUUCAGCUUCCUAACCUUAAGGAUGAGACCCUAUCAAUAUUGCCUCUGCUUUUGUGAUCAGGGUAGUAGUGCAAUAUUGCUUAUAGGGUCUUUUCUUUUGAGGGUUAUUCUUCAUGGAAAGAAGAAAGCCACAGCAGGACAAAAUAAUCCCAUAUGCCCAACAAGUUAAGGGAGAAGUUGUGAAAUGCUGAGUGUGGUUAGAUAGGCGAGUAAUUGCACAGAGAUGUUAUUUGUGACAAAUAAUCGUGCUAUUCUGGUGACUCAGGUCGUGAGUAAUGGGCAUAUUUUUGAUGCUAUCACACAGGAUUCAAAACGGCUUCGUGUUUAAAACACAAGCAGUGAUUGAAACCAGAGAAACCCAUCAUGGUUCCUUUCUAAAAUAGUAUGAGUUCUGAGACGUUUGAAGGGUGUCUAUAUUACACACUGAUGUAAACACCCACCGAAGGAUGGGAGGAGAUACAUAGCCAUACUUGCUGUUUCUGUGCCUGAUCCCAGCCCGAAAACCAGUGUAGUGCAAAGCAGAGCACAGCACAAAGAGGCCGAGGCUCUAAUCCCAAUAACCUCGGCGAAACAAAGCUCAUGCCUGUGCCCGGCGAGUGCGGCCCGCCGGCUCCGCCGCCGUGCCCCGAACACCCGGGGCUAUUCCAGGGUCGGGCGGCGCAGCGGGGCCGGGCACUGCCUCCAGCCCUUCCCGAGAGCUGCUCUCUGAGGUACGUGGGAACGAAGCAGGGAUGGGGGUGUUAAAUCUCCUCUCCGCUUUGUGAGGAUCAGCUGGGGGCUGACAGCAGCCGGGAUGGCCGAGUGGGUGGCCCUGCCUUCCAUUUCAGGUGGUCCCCGCGGUCCCUUUCGGGACCUCAGGGGCCCAGGGAAAGGGGUGGUGGGAGGGGACUGAGGGCCGGAUCAGGGCGCGGCGGAGCUGCCGCGGGGCCGCUGCCGCGCGUCUCCCCGGGGCGGCGGGGCUCGGGCAGGGUCCGGGACACAGCACGGGGCCGUGCCCGCUGCCUCCCCCUUGUACGGCUGCCGCUACCCUCGGUUUAACUCCCCUCCCACCCCGAGCUGCCCCCUAGCAUCAUUCCAAUGGGAGGCGGCCAGCUCGGGGACAAAGCCAGGAUCUUCCCACCCCACUCGGGCUCGGCCCCUGUGCCCCCAGCCCGGCAGCCGCCGCAGCUGCUGUGCCAGCGCUGGGACCACCGGCCGGGCUGCCCCUCUUUCCCUGUUGCACUACUGUCACGGUCGCAGCGAGCAGUGCAAUAAUGAAAGGGCGUCAGUGCGCCGGGGAGCGGCGAGAGCCGGCGACGAGCCGGUGACAGCGCGCGGGGACGGGGACGUCCCGCCGCACCCGAGAGCCACCUUAACGGGGCGGAGGGGAUACACACGACACUGACGGACGGACUUUGGUUGUGCAACUUUCUUUGUUUAAACACGCAGCGGCGGAGAGCGUGCGCGCAGGGGCAGGACAAGGUGAGCGGCUCCGCGCACCGCUUGCCCCGGGCCCGCCACCGCUCCCCGCCCCGCCGGCCCCGGGGCAGCUCCUCUGCUGUACCCGGCCAACACCGAAUAAAUAAAAGUGACCCCCGAGUCCCCUGUCCCUGCCUUUUCUUCCCGGGGGGUUUCUUGCAGGUCAGCAGCCCCUCCUGCCUCCCUGGCAGCCCCUCGCAGAUACAAAUCCCCUCGACGAGUUUUUGCCCUGCGAUCCGGUGUGCUGCUCACCCGUUUGGUCUUGUGGGGAGAGGCCGAAAAUGCGAAUAGGAAACGAGCGUCUUCCUUCACUGCGGAGCCUGAAAAACUCCAGUCGUGCCCUAGUGCUGGGUUCAGCCAUGGGAGAGCACGGGUAGGGAAGUGAGUGUGGGGCGGGAGGGGAAGGGUUUGCAAUAAUGAAGAUGAGAACAGUGCUUUGCAUCUGGGAAGGCCAGGAAAUAGCCCUUUGAUUAUUAGUGGUCAUGGUGAAAUGGAUACUUCUAUAAAAGAGGGCUGGGGAGGGGUAUUUCCUUAGCAAAGGACCUUCCUGCACUGGCCUUUUGAACCUGUGCUUCUCCCUGGCACUAUUUCUGCUUCAUCAUGACUUUUUGCAGAGGAAGGUGAGUGCAGAAAACAGGCUGGCUGUCAGAGAGGGAUGCAAUCUAAUCCUGAUGAAAAGGCUUUUACAGUCUAUGCUUAAUUUCCUAUUUCUUUUGGGUUCUCUCUAUCUUCCAUCCCUCACAUGCACAAGCAGAUACAAAAGCUGAAUCCUUCCCUGCAGUCUUUCUCCCAGGGAAAAGUCAGCCCCCUCCCCAGCUUCACCUUCAGGCUUUGCGCACACAAAAUGGCUGCAGCAGCCUGUGGGUGGGCAUGGAGAGCUCAGGAAGCUGCUUUUCUUUUUCCCACCCUGCCUGCCCAGGAAGCCCUUCUGCUUUUAUUUUCUGUGGCAUUUUGCUCUUGCAUAGCUCUGUGCAAAUCCAAGGGGGUCUCCAAUGUGUAAUCUAUGCAUGGAAUGGGAGCUGGGGAGGGAAAUGGCCAGUUUGCAUGAGAAGGGGACCUGUCGGGCCCCAGUGUUUAUUUUUUUGCUGACCUUCUGGGGAUAUGGUCAGUGAGAGCUGUGACAGCUGCUGGAAGCGGCAGGGGCUUUGAAGAUUGUGAAGGUUGUGACCUCGAGGCCCCUUUCCUCUCUCUGUCCCAGGAGCUGCUGAGUCAAUCAGGGAAAAGGGGAGGUGAAAUGGGGGCUGCUCUUUAGCCAUUUUUCAAUCGGUGAAUGAAACAGGAAAGGACAAAUGCAAGAAGAAAAAAGAGCGAUUACUUCCACUUUGGUGCAUUACUGAGAAGGGGGAAUCUCUCUUUGGCAAAAGAUUAUAACAAUAAUGGGAAACCACUGUGCUCCUAAGAUCCAGCACCUUGAAUAAAGGAUUUAACUGGGCAAGGAGCUGAUGGCAGAUCAAUAACAGUAAAUUAGGGGGAAAGCCUACAAAGUCCUCUUGGUUCAAAGCAAGAGGAAAUCCACCUCUUGUUUCCACCAGAUACCAGCUCUAGAUGUAGCAGCAGUAACAUUCCCGGUUGUCCCACUAGCUCCCACCAUCUCCUUGACCCUACACUAACACAUCUUCAUCUUUGCUGAGCUCAGCUGAACCCUGUGGCUGAGAUUGCAGAGGCCGCUGACAACGGCUGCACCGCACAUGCCAAAAUAA